UCCCUGGUGGUCUAGUGGCUAAGGCUCCACACUCCUAAUGUGGGGGACCUGGGUUCAGUCCCUGAUCAGGGAA
rnacentral:tRNA from 1 species